UACGUAGGGGGCAAGCGUUAUCCGGAUUUACUGGGUGUAAAGGGAGCGUAGACGGUUAUGCAAGUCAGAAGUGAAAGCCCAAAGCUCAACUUCGGGACUGCUUUUGAAACUGUGUAACUAGAGUGCAGGAGGGGUAAGCGGAAUUCCUAGUGUAGCGGUGAAAUGCGUAGAUAUUAGGAGAAACACCGGCGGCGAAGGCGGCUUACUGGACUGUAACUGACGUUGAGGCUCGAAAGCGUGGGGAGCAAACAGG
rnacentral:rRNA from 1 species